rfam:Eurypyga helias contig32538, whole genome shotgun sequence.
GGCUCCAUAGCUCAGGGGGUUAGAGCACUGGUCUUGUAAACCAGGGGUCGUGAGUUCGAAUCUCACUGGGGCCU